rnacentral:misc_RNA from 1 species
AAGUCGUAACAAGGUUUCCGUAGGUGAACCUGCGGAAGGAUCAUUAUCGAGUUUUGAACGGGUUGUAGCUGGCCUCUCACGAGGCAUGUGCACGCCUGGCUCAUCCACUCUUAACCUCUGUGCACUUUAUGUAAGAGAAAAAAAUGGUGGAAGCUUCCAGGAUCUCGCGAGAGGUCUUCGGUUGAACAAGCCGUUUUUCUUUCUUAUGUUUUACUACAAACGCUUCAGUUAUAGAAUGUCAACUGUGUAUAACACAUUUAUAUACAACUUUCAGCAACGGAUCUCUUGGCUCUC